rnacentral:lncRNA from 1 species
ACAGGUUAGUUUUACCCUACUGAUGAUGUGUUGUUGCCAUGGUAAUCCUGCUCAGUACGAGAGGAACCGCAGGUUCAGACAUUUGGUGUAUGUGCUUGGCUGAGGAGCCAAUGGGGCGAAGCUACCAUCUGUGGGAUUAUGACUGAACGCCUCUAAGUCAGAAUCCCACACAGGCGGAACGAUACGGCAGCGCUGCGGGAGCCUCGGUUGGCCUCGGAUAGCCGGGUCCCCGCCGUCCCCGCCGGCAGGCCGCCGCGCGCGCGGCCCCCCGCGUCGGCGCGGCGCGCCCCCGCCGCACGUCGGGACCGGGAUCCGGUGCGGAGAGCCCCUCGUCCCGGGACAAGGGGCGCGGCCGGAAAGGCGGCAGCCCCCUCACCCGUCACGCAGCACACGUUCGUGGGGAACCUGGCGCUAAACCAUUCAUAGACGACCUGCUUCUGGGUCAGGGUUUCGUACGUAGCAGAGCAGCUCCCUUGCUGCGAUCUAUUGAAACUCAGCCCUCGACACAAGGGUUUGUCUCGUCCGUCCGUCCGUCGGUCAGUGGGUCCCUCUCCGGCGCGGCCCCGCCGCCCGCUGCCGACCGGCGGCGGGCGGAGGUCGAGCGGAAGGCGCGGGCGGGGGCCCCUCCGGCGCGUCCCCUCCUCGGCGCCGCGCCGUCCCCUCUCCGACCCCCGCCGGGGCCUCGCCAGGGGCUGGGACGGGGGAAGGGGAGGGCGGCGGGUGCGGCCGAGCCGUGGGCCACCUGGGGGCGGCCCCGCGGCCCCGUUACCGGGGGGGCCUUGGGCCGGGGGGCCUCGGCGGUGCGCUCGCGGCGCGGACGCAGCCCGGGGUGGCCGCAGUCCGAUGGCCGCCACACCUCGAGGCCGUGGCGUGCCGGCAGGUUGGCGUGCCGGCCAGUGCGUGGCCCUUGCGCUUCCCCGCCCCGCGCCUCCCUCUCUCUCCAUCUGCGUUGCGGGUCGACCAGCAUCCCGCCGCGUGGUUCGACCGGAUGCGGACGUGCGGGUGGGGCGAGAGAGGGAAGGUGCGGCGGCAGGAGGCCGGGCGUGGGUGCCGGCCGCGCCUGGCUCGGCUGGGCCGGGCGGAGGGGUCGACCAGCUGUCCGGCCCGGACUCGGUCCCCGGAGCGGGGGCG